CCUACGGGAGGCAGCAGUGAGGAAUAUUGGUCAAUGGACGAGAGUCUGAACCAGCCAAGUAGCGUGAAGGAUGACUGCCCUAUGGGUUGUAAACUUCUUUUAUAUGGGAAUAAAAUGUUCCACGUGUGGGCUUUUGUAUGUACCAUAUGAAUAAGGAUCGGCUAACUCCGUGCCAGCAGCCGCGGUAAUACGGAGGAUCCGAGCGUUAUCCGGAUUUAUUGGGUUUAAAGGGAGCGUAGGUGGAUUGUUAAGUCAGUUGUGAAAGUUUGCGGCUCAACCGUAAAAUUGCAGUUGAAACUGGCAGUCUUGAGGACAGUAGAGGUGGGCGGAAUUCGUGGUGUAGCGGUGAAAUGCUUAGAUAUCACGAAGAACUCCGAUUGCGAAGGCAGCUCACUGGACUGCAACUGACACUGAGGCUCGAAAGUGUGGGUAUCAAACAGGAUUAGAUACCCGAGUAGUC
rnacentral:rRNA from 1 species